UUUUUUUUUUUGAGAUGGAGUCUUGCUCUGUCACCCAGGCUGGAGUGCAGUGGCGUGAUCUCAGCUCACUGCAAGCUCCACCUCCUGGGUUCAUGCCAUUCUCCUGCCUCAGCCACCACCAUGCCUGGCUAAUUUUUUAUAAUUUUUAGUAGAGAUGAGGUUUCACCAUGUUAGCCAGGAUGGUCUCGAUCUGACCUCGUGAUCUGCCCACCUCAGCCUCCCAAAGUGCUGGGAUUACAGGUGUGAGCCACCACGCCUGGCCCCUU
rnacentral:lncRNA from 1 species